CACGUAGGCACCAAGCGUUGUCCGGAUUUAUUGGGCGUAAAGAGCUCGUAGGCGGUUCAGUAAGUCGGGUGUGAAAACUCUGGGCUCAACCCAGAGACGCCACCCGAUACUGCUGUGACUUGAGUACGGUAGGGGAGUGGGGAAUUCCUGGUGUAGCGGUGAAAUGCGCAGAUAUCAGGAGGAACACCAAUGGCGAAGGCAGCUCGCUGGGACGGUACUGACGCUGAGGCGCGAAAGCGUGGGGAGCAAACAGG
rnacentral:rRNA from 1 species